rnacentral:rRNA from 2 species
GGUUCCUUCGGGAACUGGAGAGUGGCGCACGGGUGAGUAACGCGUGGGGACCUACCUCUUAGUGGGGGAUAACGGUUGGAAACGACCGCUAAUACCGCAUACGCCCUUCGGGGGAAAGAUUUAUCGCUAAGAGAUGGACCCGCGUUGGAUUAGAUAGUUGGUGAGGUAACGGCUCACCAAGUCAGCGAUCCAUAGCUGGUUUGAGAGGAUGAUCAGCCACACUGGGACUGAGACACGGCCCAGACUCCUACGGGAGGCAGCAGUGGGGAAUAUUGGACAAUGGGCGGAAGCCUGAUCCAGCCAUGCCGCGUGAGUGAAGAAGGCCUUCGGGUUGUAAAGCUCUUUCAGAUGCGAAGAUGAUGACGGUAACAUCAGAAGAAGCCCCGGCUAAUUUCGUGCCAGCAGCCGCGGUAAUACGAAAGGGGCAAGCGUUGUUCGGAUUUACUGGGCGUAAAGGGCACGCAGGCGGUCUUGCCAGUCAGGGGUGAAAGCCC